rnacentral:misc_RNA from 3 species
AACGCACAUUGCGCCCGCUGGUAUUCCGGCGGGCAUGCCUGUUCGAGCGUCAUUAUGACCAACUCACGCUCCGCGUGGUCUUGGGGUCCGCUGUCACGGCGGCCCCUAAACGCAGUGGCGGUGCCGUGCGGCUCUCAGCGUAGUAAUUUAUCUCGCUACAGGGUCCGGACGGUGCUGGCCAGCAACCCCAACUUCUUUAGGUUGACCUCGGAUCAGGUAGGGAUACCCGCUGAACUUAA